GUUCAAUGCUGUUAAUACAAUGUCCAAAGCUUUACUUAAUAAGUUAUAAGCCCGAGUGAGAAUUAAAUAUUCAUUGUUGAAAAAAAAAAAAAUUUUCUAAUUCAUUCUCUCUGUUUCUAGUUUCUACUGCCAUUAUAAGUUUGCACUGGUAGAGCUGGAAUUAGGAAUGGAAUCUCACUAUCUGUCUGGGGCUUUCACUUAUUCAUGUUUGUGCAUACAAACAUUAUACUUUGAAUAGAGCGAUACUUGUUCGUAUUAUCCACCAUAUUUUCUCAUUUUCGAAGAAGAAAUCAAACUGCAAUGGUCAAGAUUCUUACCUGAGUAGUAUCCUGGACAUCCUUAAAAAUUGCAUGUGCUAUUUGAUGUUUGGACUGUAAUGAUACUUGAUUAUCUAGUGAUUGAUGUAACAGUCUUAUUGACAAUUCAGUGUUGUGUCAUUGUUAUGUAAAUGGGUUCAUUUUGUUCAAUGUAUAGUCCAUUAUAUCUUCUCCUGGACUGCAUUUGUGAUAUUGGAUUUUUUUUU
rnacentral:misc_RNA from 1 species